AGUCUGGUGCCAGCAGCCGCGGUAAUUCCUGCUCCAGUAGCGUAUAUUAAAGUUGUUGCAGUUAAAAAGCUCGUAGUUGGAUUUCUGACGAACCGGAGUGGCCCGUUUCCUUUUCGGGGAUGAGUGCCGCUUUGAGUUUGUCAUCCUUCCAGAGAGCUGCGUCUACCGUUUACUCGGCCGGAUGUAUGCGAUCUGGAUCUAUUACUUUGAAAAAAUUAGAGUGUUUAAAGCAGGCUUAUGCUGUGAAUACAUUAGCAUGGAAUAAUAAUUUAGGACUUUGGUUCUAUUUUGUUGGUUUCUAGGACCGAAGUAAUGAUUGAUAGGGAUAGUUGGGGGUGCUAGUAUUCCACGGCCAGAGGUGGAAUUCUUGGAUUCGUGGAAGACUAACUACUGCGAAAGCAUUCACCAAGGAUGUCUUCUUUAAUCAAGAACGAAAGUUGGGGGAUCGAAGACGAUCAGAUACCGUCGUAGUCUCAACCAUAAACUAUACCGACUCAGGAUCAGUGAACGUUGCAUUCUCGACUUCAUUGGCACUGUGUGAGAAAUUAAAGUCUUUGGGUUCCGGGGGGAGUAUGGUCGCAAGGCUGAAACUUAAAGGAAUUGACGGAAGGGCACCACCAGGAGUGGAGCCUGCGGCUUAAUUUGACCCAACACGGGUAAACUUACCAGGUCCAGACAUAGUGAGGAUUGACAGAUUGAAGAUCUUUCUUGAUUCUAUGGGUGGUGGUGCAUGGCCGUUCUUAGUUGGUGGAGUGAUUUGUCUGGUUAAUUCCGUUAACGAACGAGACCUCGACCUGCUAAAUAGUUCUUGUCAUCGUGAGAUGGCUGGAUACUUCUUAGAGGGACUAUCGGUGGUUAGCCGAUGGAAGUUCGAGGCAAUAACAGGUCUGUGAUGCCCUUAGAUGUUCUGGGCUGCACGCGCGCUACACUGAUACGUUCAUCGAGCUCUACCUUGACUGAAAAGUCUGGGUAAUCUUCUCAACGCGUAUCGUGAUGGGGAUAGAUUAUUGUAAUUUUUGAUCUUCAACGAGGAAUUCCUAGUAAACGCGCGUCAUUAACGCGCAUUGAUUACGUCCCUGCCCUUUGUACACACCGCCCGUCGCUACUACCGAUUGGAUGGUUUAGUGAGGUUCACGGACUGUUGUCUCUGGUUGGUUCUCCUUCC
rnacentral:rRNA from 1 species